UAAGGCAGGGACUAUAUAUAAAUGGGA
rnacentral:piRNA from 1 species